rnacentral:rRNA from 1 species
GACGAACGCUGGCGGCGUGCCUAACACAUGCAAGUCGAGCGAUGAACCGAUCUUCGGAUGGGUGAUUAGCGGCGGACGGGUGAGUAACGCGUGAGCAACCUGCCUUGUACAGCGGGAUAACAGGUGGAAACAUUUGCUAAUACCGCAUAAUGAGUAAUAGAUGCAAUCUGUUACUUUAAAGGAGCAAUCCGGUACAAGAUGGGCUCGCGUCCCAUUAGCUUGUUGGUGAGGUAAUAGCUCACCAAGGCGACGAUGGGUAGCCGACCUGAGAGGGUGAUCGGCCACACUGGGACUGAGACACGGCCCAGACUCCUACGGGAGGCAGCAGUGGGGAAUAUUGCGCAAUGGGGGGAACCCUGACGCAGCAACGCCGCGUGAGCGAAGAAGGCUUUCGGGUCGUAAAGCUCUGUCUUUGGGGACGAAGGAAGUGACGGUACCCAAGGAGGAAGCCCCGGCUAACUACGUGCCAGCAGCCGCGGUAAUACGUAGGGGGCGAGCGUUGUCCGGAAUUACUGGGCGUAAAGGAUGCGUAGGCGGCGAUGCAAGUCAGAUGUGAAAUACCACGGCUUAACCGUGGGGUUGCAUAUGAAACUGUAUGGCUUGAGUACAGGAGAGGAAAGUGGAAUUCCUAGUGUAGCGGUGAAAUGCGUAGAGAUUAGGAGGAACACCAGUGGCGAAGGCGACUUUCUGGACUGUAACUGACGCUGAGGCAUGAAAGCGUGGUUAGCGAACAGGAUUAGAUACCCUGGUAGUCCACGCCGUAAACGAUGGAUACUAGGUGUAGGGGGUAUCGACCCCCCCUGUGCCGGAGUUAACGCAAUAAGUAUCCCGCCUGGGGAGUACGGCCGCAAGGCUGAAACUCAAAGGAAUUGACGGGGGCCCGCACAAGCAGCGGAGCAUGUGGUUUAAUUCGAAGCAACGCGAAGAACCUUACCAGGGCUUGACAUCCCGAUGACGUACCUAGAGAUAGGUAUUCCCUUUGGGGCAUUGGAGACAGGUGGUGCAUGGUUGUCGUCAGCUCGUGUCGUGAGAUGUUGGGUUAAGUCCCGCAACGAGCGCAACCCCUAUUUUUAGUUGCUAACAGGUGAAGCUGAGCACUCUAGAGAGACUGCCGGGGAUAACUCGGAGGAAGGUGGGGACGACGUCAAAUCAUCAUGCCCCUUAUGUCCUGGGCUACACACGUGCUACAAUGGCCUGAAACAGCGGGAAGCGAAGCCGCAAGGUGGAGCGAAUCCGACAAACCAGGUCUCAGUUCGGAUUGUGGGCUGCAACUCGCCCACAUGAAGUUGGAGUUGCUAGUAAUCGCGAAUCAGCAUGUCGCGGUGAAUGCGUUCCCGGGCCUUGUACACACCGCCCGUCACACCAUGGAAGUUGGGAGCACCCGAAGCCAGUGAAUUAACCCGGCAUUCAACUGACUAUAUAUGCAAUGGCAUAGUAGUGAGUUGAGUGUCGGGAGAGAGCUGUCGAAGGUGAAACCGAUGACUAGGGUG